GCUAAUAUGUACACAAAAUGAAAUUUUAUAAGACGAUGAGUAAAGGGAACAAAUAUUAUAGUUCAUUGUAAGUCUCCAUCUAGCUGUAAAAACUGAGGAUUUUUAUUUUUUUUUAAUCAGAACCUAUAAUACAAAACUUUUUUUAAAAUCUAUGUACCAGUUUUUUUUUUUUAAAAGACAACUUACAUUAUCCAUAAUGUUAGAGGUCGUUCCAGCUUAGUAUUGCCAAAACCUAAAAGUGACUGCUACUGGUCUUCUUCUUCUUCGCUGAUCGCAGUGACUACUUUAGCUUUUCUUGUUUUUCUUCUCCAUUAUUGCUCAUAGAUACGCCUAGUGCUUUUUGUUAGAACAAAUUUG